AUUUUACUCAACUUUUGUGAGGCGUCAAAAAAAUAAAUAUUUUCGCAGGUAACAAAUUUUGUGGCUGCAGCUUUUCGCGCCCGGAGGUACUAUAUGAGAGAGAUCUCUAGGAAUAAAGUGUAAGAACUUAGUUCCGAUGAAGUGAAUUAUAUAAACUAUACCUCCAGUCGGAGGUAUAUCUAUAGUUCCUUCCUGGCCUCGCGAUUUAUCGCUCAAGUCUCGGGCUGACAACGUCUUCCCGAGCAAGGUGAAACAGUGGAUUACUAGGCAAUGCCAAGUCCACCAAAACCCAGAUCAUUAGAUCUUUUUGCUACGAGUCAGUGGACAAUCCAGUCUUAAUAACUUCUAC
rnacentral:misc_RNA from 1 species